rnacentral:rRNA from 1 species
AAGCUCGUAGUUGAAUUUCGGGAUUAGUACGUCGGUCGUGCCUUAGGUACGUACUGGUGUUACUGGUUCCUACCUUCUGACGAACCAUCAUGUCAUUAAUUUGGUGUGGUGGGGAGUCAGGACUGUUACUUUGAAAAAAUUAGAGUGUUUAAAGCAGGCUCGCGCUUGAAUACAUUAGCAUGGAAUAAUGAAAUAGGACGUUGAUCCUAUUUUGUUGGUUUCUAGGAUUGACGUAAUGAUUAAUAGGGUAGUUGGG